UGCUGAAGGAUUGUAACUUGGUGAGGUCAGACUGUAAGUCGGUGAGGUGGGACUGUAUCCAGGUGAAGUUGGGCUGUAGGCAGGAGAGGUAGGGCUGUAUGAAGGUGAGGUUGGGCUGUACGAUGGAGAGGUUGGGCUGUAAGAUGGUGAGGUUGGGCUGUAAGAGGGAGACGUGGGGCUGUAAGCCGGAGAAGUUGGGUUAUAAGCAGGUGAGGUUGGGCUGUAAGAGGGAGACGUGGGGCUGUAAGCCGGAGAAGUUGGGCUAUACGCAG
rnacentral:lncRNA from 1 species